AACCAACUUCUUCCAGAAUGCGCGGCUGCCAUUGACACGCGGGCGCGGCGCGUCGCACCCUGCUCCUCCCGGGGCUCUUCCUCCAACAGCGACGGCGGGGUGGGGGAGGAGAGUGAGACACAGACACCCCAGGCGAAUGUCUGUUACCCCGGGCUAAAGCUGCGAGUUCCGGAAUGGAUUGCAAGGCAGUUUCAAAAUCUAACACGUUGCGGACAGACACUUGUCAUGCUCACAUGCUCUUUAAAAGUCUCAGCCUGGGGACUGCCCGGGCGCGCGCCCGCCUGGCUGCAAAUCGGCCUGAAACCCCCACCCUCCGACCCCGGCAGUGCCGCCUUUAAGGGAAGGGGGCGACCACACUGGGGCUGCUCAUAUGUUUCGGUAAACAGUCUACUUUUAGGACUUAAACCCUGUUAGGGGACCCUUUCUCCCCUCGGGUAAUUUCAAACAGAAACUAGCCAUUGAGCAAACACAUGUUCCUGUUAGUUUAUUUUGGUUGAGAGUUAGGACUCCAACAGGAGUUCCUUGAUGAGAUUACCCUUUUAAAAGACCAGAUGCUGUUUGGCUGAUUUCAAGAAACGCCUGCCCCCUCCCCGCCCUCUCCACUGGGUCUAGUUUUCGCGUGUAUGUCCCGUUGUUUUGAAGUAAACGAACUGUCGCAUGCCUCUCUAAGACUUUCCCCAUCACUUAAAAAAAAAAAAAAAAAAACCCAAACCGUAAAUAAACCUAGUAGAGACGUCAGCGCCUGAGUCUGCCUCCAGUUUCGGCUCUGUGCUGUUUUUGUUUUGUAACCUCGAUGGAGAAGCCGGCAGGAAAAGCUCCGUGGAAAUAAGGUUAAACCCGAGAAGGGCUGAGGCGGCCAAACGAUGACUAACUAGACUUUGGAGCCUCUGUUUCAGGAUCACACUGAAAAUUAAAGCCAGCCUCCCACCCACUCGCCCUCCCAAAAAAAAGACACCCCCGCCUCGAGAGUGAAUUAAGGCCAGAGUUUACAAAGCUUGGGUGGUUUUACCAAUUACAGGACUUAAAAUGAAUAAACAAGGAAAAAAGCGUCAUUCUAAGAAGGCAGCAACCUUAUGACUUUUUUUUUCUUCUGUGGUUUGCCGACUGCUCGGCACCUAUGAGAACACACAUCUAAAACGGCAGAGGGGGGGAAACAUGGUCCUAGGGAAACCACCAGCCUGGAAGCUAGUCUGCAACUUGCUGGAGCGCAGUUCCUUCCCUGGGCCUGGCUGGAGAUGAAUCAGCUGCUGCGCCCGAGUGCGGGACAGAUGUGGGGCGGGGAGCGAGCGGGAGGCCGCCCGUUAGAGGGCCGCGGCGUCCUAGCAUUUGAAGGAUUGUUUGUUGCUGGGAUUGGUGGCUCGGAUCCGUUGGUGAACUGGAGAGGAGGGAGGAGAGACGCAGGGAGGAGGAGUCGGGGGCCGGCCGACGCUGCGACUCCGCGGUCUGAGUGGCAGGAGCCUCGUCUGGAAGCGGGCGGUUACUGGGAGACGCUUUGUUUGCUAACUUCGAAAGCUGCUUCGGCUGCCUCGGCGGCUUUCGAAGCCACUCAACAAAACACGCCUUCGGGUCGGCUUAACCCUCCCCCUGCCCGCUUACAGAAGCCCGGCACAAAAAUGUUUCCGUCUGCGUGCUUAUCCUUGGCCACGCGGUGGCUCUCAUUAGGUGCACAAAGGUAUCUUUUUCCUCGUCGAAGUGAACUUGGCUAAUUACUGCGAUUCUCAGGCAACCGGGAUGGAAACCGAGAGUUGAAGCGACUUUAUAGGCACACAUAGUUCCAUUUGGUGUCAUCUUUUGAAGCUGCCUCAAGGCCAAGGAAAGACACAGAGUUGUGAUCCUCUGAGAAGGUGGAAAAGAAGCCGAAAGACAAUUCAAUGGCAAGAGUGCUGGAAAGUGGAGAAAGAGCAUAGACCACAAAGUUGGAAGUAUUCAUGGAAGACAGAAGAGUUUGCAGGGACAAAAAAAACUCUUGGAACCCAGCUACCUCUCCGAACCCAGAAACCGCUCUGUAAAAAGCACAGGCCACGUGGGAAGGCCACCUGAAGGUGCUACAGUCAACAGACCCAGCUAAACUUCCAGCCCCCAGCAAGCGCCCGAGAGUGAGCCAUCUGAAUCACACAGCCCUCGGGAAAGCUCAGAGGAAUCCGAGUCAGCUCACCUCUCACAGAGCAGAAGCCUGACCCAGCAGAGCCCAGUCAACCCACAGAAUCACUGGAAAUUGUACAACCGUAUGCGAUUCAAACAAAUCUGCAUUUCUGUAAAUGACAAAGCCAAAAGAGAUAUGGAGCCCUCUUUAACUCUCCAACUCUAUUCAAGAUAAAAGUCUCUUUUUUCUGGGCCAUCUACAAAGAGGGAGAAGGGAUCAUGCUGGAGAAUCUGGAAGGAAUUGGAGAAAGCCCUGGAUUCAAGUUCCAGAAAAUUAGGACUAUAAACUCUGGAGUUAGGCACCCAGGUUGGAAUCCUACCUCUCACCACAAGUGACUCUGAUCAAUCACUCAACUAUGCAGAACUCAGUUCCCUCACCUGAAAUACAGCACUAAUAAAAAUCUAUCUCACAAGAUUGUCGGGAAGUCAGUGAAAAUCAUCUGUGUGCAGUGCUUCACACAUAGCAAAUGUUCCUUCACUAUUCAUCAGAAUCUUCUUAGGCUCUAAGAUCCAUAAACUGUUCAAUGUUUCCUCAGAUAUAUUCUAUAUUUAUCAUUCAAUAAACAUCUGCCUUACUAAAAAGCAUUAAAAACACAAAGGUAUGAGUUUUUACUGAAUAAUGAUCUUAAUUUGUACUUAAAAGCUCUGAAGGGCACCUGGGUGGCUCAGUCAGUUGGGAGGCUGACUUCGGCUCACGUCAUGAUCUCGCAAACUUUGUGAGUCUGAGCCCCACGUCGGGCUCUGUGCUGACAGCUCAGAGACUGGAGCCCGAUUUGGACUCUGUGUCUCCCUCUCUCUCUGACCCUCCCCCGCUCACACUCUGUGUCUCUCUCUAUCUCAAAAAUAGACAUUAAAAAAAAAAUUUUUUUUUAAGUUCUGAAGAACAUUGUCCCACAUAACUGAAAAAUCAGCUUUACCAUGAAAUUUGAAAUCUGUGAACUUGAAAAUCUGAAAAAAAAAAAAAAAAAAAAAAAAAAAAGACUGCCCCAACUACUUUCCAUUAUAUUCCAUUUGAGUCACCAUAAUCUUUAUUUCAAAAUAGUGUUUUAUUAUAUAAAAAUGUAAAAAUCCAGCAAAACCAGAAAUACCGGAUAUAUUUUCCUGGGCUUUCACAUUUGUUGAUUUUUAUUCGCAAUCUCUUUUUCAGAACAAUUUACAACCUCAACCUCAUUUGCAGUCUGAUUAUACAAGUGCUAAAUGGCAGAAAGGUCUAGAAUAAAUA